AAUAGCAACUGUGAAGACCAUGAAGAUAUCUGUCAACUUGAGAAUUCAAUGGGAUCUUAGGUUUGUGCGAGAUUCAGGGGGGACCAAGUGAGGAAGAAGAAAAAAGCGUGUGGAAGAAUGCGGCAUUUUCAGGAAAAAACAUUUGGAAAUUCCAGAUGCUGGAGCCCUCUCCAAGUGUUUAAUUAUGACCAGUUCAUUGGAGACGUUAUCCUCCUCAAACAUCAUCUGACGAAGUGGACGGAAGAGAAUGCGAUGAUGAUGGACUUUAACUCUGAAAAAUCAAACGUCGUCGGUGAUAGUGCAUCUUUUACAAACAAUUUUGCUCGGAUUGUCUUGUCACUAAGCUCUUGUACAUCAUAGUUCAAAGAUAAGGCCAAUAAGCGGCUAUUGAAGAAAAUGUAUGAUCCCCUUACAACAAAAGGCUCACAAGAUUGUAUCCUGU